AGAGUUUGAUCAUGGCUCAGAUUGAACGCUGGCGGCGGGCCUAACACAUGCAAGUCGAACGGUAACAGGAAGCAGCUUGCUGCUUCGCUGACGAGUGGCGGACGGGUGAGUAAUGUCUGGGAAGCUGCCUGAUGGAGGGGGAUAACUACUGGAAACGGUAGCUAAUACCGCAUAAUGUCGCAAGACCAAAGAGGGGGACCUUCGGGCCUCUUGCCAUCGGAUGUGCCCAGAUGGGAUUAGCUUGUUGGUGGGGUAACGGCUCACCAAGGCGACGAUCCCUAGCUGGUCUGAGAGGAUGACCAGCCACACUGGAACUGAGACACGGUCCAGACUCCUACGGGAGGCAGCAGUGGGGAAUAUUGCACAAUGGGCGCAAGCCUGAUGCAGCCAUGCCGCGUGUAUGAAGAAGGCCUUCGGGUUGUAAAGUACUUUCAGCGGGGAGGAAGGGAGUAAAGUUAAUACCUUUGCUCAUUGACGUUACCCGCAGAAGAAGCACCGGCUAACUCCGUGCCAGCAGCCGCGGUAAUACGGAGGGUGCAAGCGUUAAUCGGAAUUACUGGGCGUAAAGCGCACGCAGGCGGUUUGUUAAGUCAGAUGUGAAAUCCCCGGGCUCAACCUGGGAACUGCAUCUGAUACUGGCAAGCUUGAGUCUCGUAGAGGGGGGUAGAAUUCCAGGUGUAGCGGUGAAAUGCGUAGAGAUCUGGAGGAAUACCGGUGGCGAAGGCGGCCCCCUGGACGAAGACUGACGCUCAGGUGCGAAAGCGUGGGGAGCAAACAGGAUUAGAUACCCUGGUAGUCCACGCCGUAAACGAUGUCGACUUGGAGGUUGUGCCCUUGAGGCGUGGCUUCCGGAGCUAACGCGUUAAGUCGACCGCCUGGGGAGUACGGCCGCAAGGAUAAAACUCAAAUGAAUUGACGGGGGCCCGCACAAGCGGUGGAGCAUGUGGUUUAAUUCGAUGCAACGCGAAGAACCUUACCUGGUCUUGACAUCCACGGAAGUUUUCAGAGAUGAGAAUGUGCCUUCGGGAACCGUGAGACAGGUGCUGCAUGGCUGUCGUCAGCUCGUGUUGUGAAAUGUUGGGUUAAGUCCCGCAACGAGCGCAACCCUUAUCCUUUGUUGCCAGCGGUCCGGCCGGGAACUCAAAGGAGACUGCCAGUGAUAAACUGGAGGAAGGUGGGGAUGACGUCAAGUCAUCAUGGCCCUUACGACCAGGGCUACACACGUGCUACAAUGGCGCAUACAAAGAGAAGCGACCUCGCGAGAGCAAGCGGACCUCAUAAAGUGCGUCGUAGUCCGGAUUGGAGUCUGCAACUCGACUCCAUGAAGUCGGAAUCGCUAGUAAUCGUGGAUCAGAAUGCCACGGUGAAUACGUUCCCGGGCCUUGUACACACCGCCCGUCACACCAUGGGAGUGGGUUGCAAAAGAAGUAGGUGGCUUAACCUUCGGGAGGGCGUUUACCACUUUGUGAUUCAUGACUGGGGUGAAGUCGUAACAAGGUAACCGUAGGGGAACC
rnacentral:rRNA from 1 species